rnacentral:sRNA from 2 species
AGAAUAGCUUUCUAGGGUUCCGCAGUGACUGUUCGCUGGUCUGGUCCGAGAGAAGGCGCACAAUGGAUACAUUGUGUACACGGAGGGAUAAAAGCCUGGGAGGA